GUUGGGUAUAUAAUGAAUCUAAAAUUGUGUAAAUGGGUAAUCUGCAUCUGAAUUUUGUUGAUGUUAAUAUCACUUUGGAGAACUAAUGCCCUAA